UACAGAGGGUGCGAGCGUUGUCCGGAAUCACUGGGCGUAAAGGGCGCGUAGGCGGCGCGGUAAGCGUGCGGUGAAAGCCCGGGGCUCAACCCCGGGUCGGCCGUGCGGACUGCCGGGCUGGAGCACUGUAGAGGCAGGUGGAAUUCCGGGUGUAGCGGUGGAAUGCGUAGAGAUCCGGAAGAACACCGGUGGCGAAGGCGGCCUGCUGGGCAGUGGCUGACGCUGAUGCGCGACAGCGUGGGGAGCAAGCAGG
rnacentral:rRNA from 1 species